AGUUCUGCACCAAAAUCAAAGGAUCCUCUUCACAGCAAGGAUGAUGGAGCACUGGAACAGGCUGCCCAGGGAGGCUGUGGCUUCUCCUUGUCUGGAGAUAUUCCAGACCCUCCUGGAUGCCCACCUGCGCAGCCUGCUGUAGGGAGCCCGUUUUGCAGGGGGGUUGGACUCAAUGAUCACUGGGGGUCCCCUGCAACCCCAAUUCUGUGGUUCUGUGAUUUUAAUCCUUGCUUCUUGCAGCGAUGCAGUGUUUCAGAAGAGAGAAAAGCACGGCGGGCAUCAACUGGAUUUCUGUGGUUGGUAAAGCUGUGCUGAGAACUGGGCUGGCUGCUGCCCCUGGAAAUGUGUCUGCAGACUUUGCACCCAGAGGAAUGACUUUUCCCUGCAGGCUGGGCUUGUCUAAGGUGAUUUUUUCACAAGGAAAGAUUUGAAAUGCUGUUUGCUAAUGGAAGAUGGAGAGAGGAAAAUCAAGUGAAAGGCACGCUGUGCACAGCCAGCACGUAGCAUCUGCACCGCUCUCCCCCUGCACAAAGGAGGAGCAGCUCAGCAAGCUUGGCCUGGGCCAUUGAAGGCAGCACACAGACAUCUGGACCAACCCCAGCGGAGCUGCUUCUGCAGGAAUCCAUGUGGGUUUUUUAAUGAAGAACAGACUCGUUGUGCAGCUUGUGAGUGAAUUCAUUCACACCUGUUAAUUGGCAUUCUUCUCUACGUGGAGCUGCAAUUGCAAUGGAUGCUUGUGGUCUGAUGUGCAGCCCCCUCUGAUGUGCUCAGAUGAGCCAAGUUGGCAAUGCCUGGCUCUCGGUUGGAGUGGUCCAAUGCUGGAGCGGGCUGCCCAGAGUCGUGCAGGUGUUCAAGAAACAUUAGAUGUUGUCCUGAGGGAUGUGGCUUGGUGGGAAAUAUUGGUGGUGGGUGGACAGUUGGACUGGAUGAUCUUGGAGAUCUUUUCCAUGCUUGCUAAUUUUAUGUUUCCAUGAAAGGCAUCUGCUGGGCGAGUGCUUUGGUGGGUGAGCAUCAGGCUGCUGGACAGCAGGCAGCUGUUGUCUGUGCAGACAGCCACAUCCAUGGGGAGUGGAGGCUCUUUGACCUUAACGUUGUCUUGCAUGUCUCAUGUGCAAAAAGGCAUGUUGUUAUAAAGCAGCAUUGUAGGGGCAACCUUGAUUUCCGCAGGCACCAGAGCUCUCCCCCAUGCUUCUCCCUGUGGUGUGAGACCAUAUUGGAGGCCGUGCAGAAGCCUGGGCAGGUGAAGUCCGUUGCUCUUUCUUUCUCCCCCCAAUGCUGGGAAUAGCAGGGAAUGGGACUGGGGGACAUCCCAGCAGUGAGUUCCUACCUCAGCAGAACCGAAUGGCCGUUCUGGUGCAUGUAUUUUGAGUGAAUCUGACGCCAGUUAGAGAAAUGAGGGGCCCGUGAACAAAAAGAAUGUGCUGCUUUUUGCAGUGUAAGAUGUUCUCUGAGCUUCUGCUAACAGUGCCCAGCAUGCUUCCUUUUCGAUGGGGAGAGGUUUAGCAAGGAUUUUUUUAAAUGAAAAUAAUUAAUCCCAUAUUUACUUUUCAUUGAUCUUUCUUUCAUCUAGUUCUUGAAAAGUUACCUUUGGAUUCUACGUUACUAUUGAUUACUGAAGAGAAUACACGUGCAACCUGCGCUUUUCAUCUGUGCAAAGAAUCUUGUAAACCUCUGUGUGUGUGUUUCUUCUUGGCACUGAGAUGAAGCUGUGUGGAACACAGACUUGGAUGACUUUUCAAUCAGGUGCAGGGACGUGUAAUACUCAUCUUAGAUGUUGUGCUGAUAAGAAGAGCAGAGAGGUAAAUUUUAUAGGGUUGCAUGCUAUUUUUUUUAAUUUUAAUUAUUUUUCAGUCAUAACCAUGGAACCACAGAAGUGUUACCCAGACAGAAGGAGCCUUUGUCACCUGGAAUUCCUACCAAUGACGCAGGCAGUGGAAGUCAGCAUCCCAAGCAUCCAUGAAACCCCUGCACAGCACUGGAAGAAAAGCUUGAUGUCUGUGCCAAGGGAGACGUACACCGCACUUGCGCUGCCUGGACGAUGUGGAAACUGGAAAUUGUGGGGUGUGCUGAAGCAUGCCCUCUCAGGCGACAUCUGCACUCUGCUCAGUCCAAGGAGAAUCCCUGCCCGCAGAUGCAAUGACACAGCAUGGCUCACCACCUCAUUUUUCAUUGCUUACUCUUAUGGUAGCUGCCAUCCAUGUCCACCCUGCAUAUUCUUAGAGCUCUUCUGGAGUCCAUGGGGCAGACUUAUGGUUGAACUAAAGGGAAUUUUUUCAUAUUGCUCUAGCUCCAGAUGAUUAUCCCUAGUAUCAUUGUAUUAAAAAAAAAAAAAGGCGUUUUGAAGUAGUGCGAUAUAUCUUCUGUGCCUCAGAAUGUGGCACGUGUGGCAUGAGAGAGUUUUGAGGCCACGAGGACUGCCCAGACAGCAUGAGAACUGUAAGAGCAGAGAGCUAUAGGUGAUGCAGCGCUAUUGGUGCCACCCGCAGGAAGCGGUAGCUGGAACAAAAUAUGGCCAGACGAGUGAUCAGAUUGCGUUUGGUAAGGAACUAUUUCAUUAGUUGUAGAACUUUGACAAAAUGUAUAUUCAGGAUGAUGAUCAGCAUGCCAGGUGCUGGGACCAUGCCGAAAGAGAAAUGGUCUGAAAACGUCGGUGCAAUUUGCAAUAUAUCCCCUUCCACAAAGCCCUCAGAUCCAUGCUGCAACUGCAUCCAAAGCAACGCAGAGCCCUGUGCUUGUUGUACCCGGAGCUGUCGGUGC